UACGUAGGGUGCGAGCGUUAAUCGGAAUUACUGGGCGUAAAGCGUGCGUAGGUGGUUCGUUGUGUCUGUGGUGAAAGCCCCGGGCUUAACCUGGGAAUGGCCAUGGAAACUGGCGAGCUGGAGUGUGGCAGAGGGGGGUGGAAUUCCACGUGUAGCAGUGAAAUGCGUAGAGAUGUGGAGGAACACCGAUGGCGAAGGCAGCCCCCUGGGAUGAUACUGACGCUCAGGCACGAAAGCGUGGGGAGCAAACAGG
rnacentral:rRNA from 1 species